UACGUAGGCAGCAAGCGUUGUUCGGAGUUACUGGGCGUAAAGGGUGCGUAGGCGGUUCUGUAAGUAUGGUGUGAAAUCUCCCGGCUUAACUGGGAGGGUGCGCUAUAAACUGCGGGGCUAGAGUGUGGGAGAGGAAAGUGGAAUUCCUGGUGUAGCGGUGAAAUGCGUAGAUAUCAGGAGGAACACCGGUGGUGUAAACGGCUUUCUGGACCAUUGUUGACGCUGAGACACGAAAGCGUGGGUAGCAAACAGG
rnacentral:rRNA from 1 species